ACGGGGGGAGCAAGCGUUGUUCGGAUUUACUGGGCGUAAAGGGCGGGUAGGCGGCCACUGCAAGUCGGUUGUGAAAUCUCCGGGCUUAACUCGGAAAGGUCAAUCGAUACUGCAGGGCUAGAGUGCAGAAGGGGCAACUGGAAUUCUCGGUGUAGCGGUGAAAUGCGUAGAUAUCGAGAGGAACACCUGCGGCGAAGGCGGGUUGCUGGGCUGACACUGACGCUGAACUGCGAAAGCUAGGGGAGCGAACGGGA
rnacentral:rRNA from 1 species